rnacentral:rRNA from 1 species
AGUGAACGCUGGCGGCGUGCCUAAUACAUGCAAGUCGAACGUGAAAGCCUUCGGGUGAGUAAAGUGGCGCACGGGUGAGUAAUGGAUGAGAACAUGCCCUGAAGUGGGGAAUAACUACUGGAAACGGUAGCUAAUACCGCAUGGCAUCGGAAGAUUAAAGGCGGGGAUCGCAAGACCUGCCGCUUCAGGAUUGGCUCAUCUCCCAUUAGCUAGUUGGCAGGGUAAAAGCCUACCAAGGCGACGAUGGGUAACUGGUCUGAGAGGAUGAUCAGUCACACUGGAACUGAGACACGGUCCAGACUCCUACGGGAGGCAGCAGUAGGGAAUAUUGCACAAUGGGCGCAAGCCUGAUGCAGCAACGCCGCGUGAGUGAAGAAGGCCCUUGGGUUGUAAAGCUCUUUAGCCUGGAAAGAAGUGUCCGCCGGUAAACAAUCGGCGGAUGUGACGGUACCAGGAGAAUAAGCACCGGCUAAUUUCGUGCCAGCAGCCGCAGUAAAAC